rnacentral:rRNA from 1 species
UACGUAGGGCGCAAGCGUAUCCGGAAUUAUUGGGCGUAAAGAGCUCGUAGGCGGUUUGUCGCGUCUGCCGUGAAAGUCCGGGGCUCAACUCCGGAUCUGCGGUGGGUACGGGCAGACUAGAGUGCGGUAGGGGAGACUGGAAUUCCUGGUGUAGCGGUGGAAUGCGCAGAUAUCAGGAGGAACACCGAUGGCGAAGGCAGGUCUCGUGGGCCGUUACUGACGCUGAGGAGCGAAAGCAUGGGGAGCGAACAGG